rnacentral:lncRNA from 1 species
GGCAGCUGCCGGACACCAGGAGACGAUGGAAGGUCUAUAGUGUUACAGCUCUGACCCAGGAAGUCCCAGGGUCUUGCCUUCCAGAAGGGUCGCGGCUCUUCCCUCCCUCAGUCCAACGAACAGGAGCACGUCACCUCCCGCAGCUCGGGGAGCUGGCCAGGAACGUGUUACAGCCCGUUUCGCUCCUGUCCGCAGCUGGGUGAGGCAGCCAGGAAAAUAUUACAGCUCUUCUCACGCCCGCCAUUCAGCAGGUCCUGACUUCUUGUGUGACAUCCAGAAGAAAGGGGUUACACAGACAGCUGGAGGGUGAGCAAAGUGGAGAAGUUCUCAGCAGAGAGGAGACUGGAGUGAGUUGCCCCUACCCGCAGGUGCCAACUGUAAUACAUCAGUAGCUGAACAGCUCAUUGCCCUCAAGUGUUCUUGCUCAUGCCUGGCUGAGUUAUUGAAGAAAUUGCUCAGAUCUCAAGCCCUUGUAGAUCACUGGUCCUGGCAGAUGUUAUACGUGAACAGAAAAGCCUGAACUAGGGAACUGACCAUGAAACUAAAAAGGAGAAAGCAUAUGCAAGUGGACACAAUAAUGAAGAAUUCUACAAGAAAGUAGAAACAUGACAGAAAGAAGAGUACAGGAGAACGGGUGAAACUUGAAAACUGAUAGAAAUGAUAGAACAGGAUCUAUACUUCUGCAGGUCACUGAAGUGAAGAGUUUGAUGUUCUUCCUAGAUCUUCAUAGACGUAGAAUUGCCUGUGUAAUCUCCUUACCUCACUAGUCUGCCCUGUCUUCCUUCUUGCUAGAUGAGAAAUAAAGAAAACAAGAAAAGCAAGGGAAAGGAGAGAAAAAAGGAGGGAUACAGCAAGAGGGAGAAAGAAAAGGACGAGAAAAUAAAUUACUAAAGGGAGAAAAGAAAAAGAAAAAAGAAAAAGCAGAGAAGAAGUUAAUCCCCUGGUGAAUUUUUCACAGGCUAUCUGGAACUCAAAAGUUCAAUCUUUAUCCAUCUAUCACUAAGUCAACUUCUGGAACCUCUUCUUCUAGAACCAGUUAGGGAAGCCACUGAAGGAGGGUUAUAGGACAAAAUAUAUGUUGGUGUGAACUUUAAAAAAAGAAUUUGUGUUUAAGGAUGAAACUGUAAUGGUUUUGAAAUUGCACUAACCACAUUUGAUUUGAGCUGAAUCAAAAGUAGAAAAAUCAGCAAAUUCUACAUAAAAAACUAAGGAAGAGGAAGAAGAUCCAACUUAGAAAAUCCAGUGGAAUAAUAAUUCCAUUAGUAAGAUAACGAUACAGAGAGAUGAUGACACUGGAGUUUUCAGAGAGCAUUGAGGCAAUAUGUAGCUAUGGAAUUUGAAAAAAAAAAUGGUUCAUUUUUGGAAGAUUACUACAACAGUCAUGUUAGAUUAAUUGAAAUGAAGGUUGGUGUUAUAAGGCUUUAAAAAUAGUCCAACUGGAAAUACGAAAGCUUGAAAAGCAGCUUUGAAAAACAAAGACAGAGGGGAAAGGGAUGAAGAGAAAUACAACUGAGAUUUAAGAUAUAAAAUAACUGAAAUCUGGAACUAAUCAACUGUGAAAAUCAAGCAACGAGAAAGAGUUGUAAAUUAUUUUAAAAUAUCUGGCUCGAUCAACUUUGCCAGUUUUAGAGCCAGUCUUUGCAAAAAGGGAGAAACAAAACAGAUGAGACAAGAAAGGAACAUCCAGCAUGCUGUGAACCCCCUGAGACUGGCCAUGAUCUGAAAGAGUAAAGCUCUAUCCAGGGAACCUUUUCUGAAUCAUAGUGUCAGACUUCCUGCUCUUUUCAACUCCCCUGGUUUUAUCAUCUCUACUCUGUUUCAGCAAUCUACUGCCAUGGCCACAUCCUGAAUGUUGACAAUACCCUAAACUGUGCCAUUUAUAAGAUCUCUGACACACCAACCUCUCUCCUCUUACAGCUCUCAAUGAUGUAUAUGACCUCAGCUUAUUCUAAUAUGCUUACAGAUUAUACACCCGUGAUAUUGAUGGCAGUGGCUGCUGCUGUCGUGGCUGCUGCUAU